UCAAGAAGCGAUUGGGACCCUUCCGAUUCCAAGAAGUGCCGCCGGUUUGCCAUCUAUCCCUUUGCCUUCUCUCUCUCACCAGGUUUAGGCUUAGGUUUCUCGAUGUAUUUCCGGUUAAUCUUUUUGGAGAGGUCAGCAUCAGCUACUCGGAAUUGAUUUCGUUCAAAGAAGGUAGGUUCCUUGUGGACCCUUAUAUCUUUGUUCUUUCCUUUUCCUUGUGGCUGAGGAGUGUUUUGGUUUCCGAGCUCCACUUUCGAGUACUCGGUUUCUGUGAUGCUGGCUUAAUCGGUUCCAACCGACCCGUCUUGAAACACGGACCAAGGAGUCUAACAUAUGUGCGAGUAUGCGGGUUUUACUCCUGUAUGCGCAAUGAAAGUGAGAGUAGGGAGAUUUUGGCUUUGCCAUUCUUCGCACCUACGACCGACCACGAUCUCUGAGAGAGGUUUGAGUUGGAGCAUAUCUGUUAGGACCCGAAAGAUGGUGAACUAUGCCUGAGUAGAAUGAAGUCAGGGGAAACCCUGAUGGAGGUUCGUAGCGAUACUGACGUGCAAAUCGUUCGUCAAACUUGGGUA
rnacentral:rRNA from 1 species